UACGUAUGUAUUUUAAAUCUUUUCCUGGUUUUAUGGAUGUAUUAAAUACUAGAAAAUAUAGACUAGCUGCAUUGAAGCUAGGUGUAAUAUAGGGCUGUUCAAACUAGAAAAACAUGUAGGAGCUCUUAGUGUGUUUCUUUCGUUCUACAGUUAGGGGUUUCUUUUAGAAACUAAUGUUAAGCCAAGCAUCUGGGUCCAAUCUCAGCUAUGUGGUUUUUGAAGAUAAUGUUAAAUGCUUCUUUAAUAAUUGAAAAUUUUCUUAACAAAAUCAUCAUUACUGAAGCCUUAGAACUAUUAGCUUACUGCUUACUACAAUGUUUAUCAGACUGUCCUUUUAGAACCAUCUCUGUGUACCCAUCCAAUAUGUUUUCAGUGAGAUUGCUACUUGAUUACAGCAAAUAAGGAAGAGUUUUCAAGAACAAAGAAGUUCAUCAUAGUAAAAAUAUUUCUGUAUUCCUAGAUUUAUAAGAUUGGGGAUUUUAGACCCAUGUUCUUAGCCAUUUAGGACUUUAUUAUUUUAUUAGCUAGUUAGCUUAAAUGCAGGAACAUCUCUUUGUGAUGAGGCACUUAAUCAUGAAAGUGAGAAUGCUGAAUGCAACCCCAUGAGAGAUGUUCAUGGAGGUAAGCGAUUUGUGUAUACUGCAAAACCUGUACCAAGUUCCUGUUUGGAGUUAGUGGAUAGGACUAUAAAGGUGCAUUCAAUUAUCAAAAAGGAGGACUGAAUAUUAAGGAGUCAAAGAAUUUAAGCCAUAAUACCGAAUGAAAGUAGAUUGAUUUUUUUCAUUCCCAGAUCUUCUUCCAUAAUGGUACGGAACAAUUGAAUCAUUGGAGUAUAUACACAAAUCACUUCAAAUGCUAUGAUGGUAACCUCAUCUUUUGGCAUGUGAUAUUUAGACAUAGAACCAAGUCCUUGUGAAUGGGCAGACAACCCAGGUGCUAUUGUUUUAUGGUGGUAGGACAAUUGCUUCCAUUACUGGCCUGAAAGUCACCAAAUUCUCCUUUAGGUGCUUCCACUGUGGCGGUUCCCAUCUUUCUCUGGUUUCCACAACCGUAACCCUUUCUCACAAGGUUACUUCAUCCAUUAAAAAAAAAAGGGUAAAAGGUGGUUGAAGAUCAGGAAUGCAUUCCACCCAAUAGAAUCAAAAGACGCAAAGCCCCUGAAGAAGUUAAGGUUCUUCCCCAGUAUCUUGUAAAAUCUUUGGGCAGAAAAAGAAUAGUAAUAAUAAUAUAUAUAUAUAUAUAUAUAAAUUGAUAGCAAAAUAUAACAGACAACCUUAAGGGUUGACAUACAGGAUUAUAGUUCACUGGACAUGGGCCAAUUGUGAAAAAAGCAGGCUGAUUGGGUCAUUCUUGUAUUUGGUUCCAGGGCCAAAAUUCUGAGCAGAUGGUUAGCAACCAAAACCAGUGAAUCCAGAGAUUGAAAACGUCGAGAAAUUAUGGUCUAUAUUGCAUGUCUAUCUAGGGGUGAGUCCAGUAUAAAGGAAUGUUCCUGAGAUGAAAUAGUGUUCAUUCUGACAAGUUCUUUGCCAUAGUUAAAUGUCCUAUCCUAAGAUACAGUAACCAAUCGGUGAAAUUGCAUAACGAUGAAAAGUGAGAAAAGUCCUUGAGAGAUGGCAUGAAUUUCUGAAUGCCUUUUCAUGCUAUCAACAUAUUACAAACUGAUUUUAGAUCUUAUUUUUACAUCUGCCCAUGAGAAGAGGGAAUUAGGAGGUGCAAGUUAGAAGGUGGGGCAGAAUGCUGAAUGGACUUGAAUUAAUAAGGGCUAGUUCUGGAUGUCAAACAUAAAUUGAACGUGUCCAUCUGUGUGCUCAAGCAAAUAUUGCAUAUAGAGGAAUCACUACUAUCACCAUGAUCAAUAGACACUGGAUUCAUUAAGAGUACAAGAAAAAUAAGUAUGUGCAUCAGAGCACUCCCAAAGACACCAUGGAUUCAUUUUGUACCCUACGCCUAAUACAAUGGAUAGGUUUAAUUCUCUGGGGAUUUCAAUUCACUAUGAGAUUAUUCAUAGUUCUAUAUUUUUAACUGUAGAUGUGAAGAGUGACGACAUGGGUUCUUAGGAUGGAAACAGCGCAUGAUUUGUCUUUGGAUAAGGCUUUGUUAAUGAUGACAAUGAUGGUGAUACAAGAAAGUAAGAAGACAACAAUUCUUUACUAGUGCAUUGCCAUUGGGUUUAGUAGGGCAGUUUUAGCCUAGAAUUGAUUUUAUCUCUCUUUGACUUUUUUAUGAAUUCAUUCGAAUUUUGUACAGCAUGUAAAAUUUUACUUGAGCAGCAUCUAACUGAUUUAACUUAGCCUCAACAUGGCCAUUCAUGGCUCAUGAGCAUCAGUUUCUAGAUUGUAAAUUUGUUAUUGUCAACAUUUUUAGAAGAAUGGUGGUCUUGUUUAAUAUUUUUUCAAGUCCAGUAACUGUUUUGACAAACAAGGUUUCUAAGUAUGCCACUUGACAAAUUCUAAUGAGUUUUUAUGUAUAGUUGAAGGGUUUGCUGGUCUAUAAUAACCAGCUCAUAAGCCAAGCUCUUUAACACUUUUCCAAUCGCACCUUCACCUUAAUAUUUUGAACAUAUAUAAAGAAAUAAGAAUUAUUUAUUUAAUUAAAGGGGAGAAAAACAAAGUCUUGAGCAAGAUUCUACUUUUCCAUACUUUUCAACUUGGCCUUUGGACAGCACUCACAACAUAAAAAAGAAAGCAAAAAGGAAAAGCUGCCUACCAUUACGGGGUCUACACCCUACAAAGCCCACCCACCUAACCAAAUCUUUUCCCCAUUUGUUACUUUUUUUUUUUUUUUUCUUUUUCUUUGUUUUGCACCCAUGUUAGAUUCUGUGCACAUUUAUACAUAGGCACUAGGAGCUAUCCCAGAACAAAAAGACAUCUCUCUUUCCUACUCUCUAAAGCGUGGGAAGUUGGGGACGCUUGAAAACAAUUUUCAAGCGUGUCGGUUUCCCUUCACUUUUGAAACAUCCAACUCAAACUUAGCUUUCCAUCCUCCUCUUCUGGAAAUAAAACAGGUGUCCCAUAGUAGCCAUCUGAUCACCAUCUGAUUGAUCAUUCAAUUUUGAUCCGAUUUGGUUUUGGCUGGGAAAGUAUGUGCCUUCCUCUGUGGGUUAAGAAAAAUGUAUCAACUGCUCACUCUUCUUUCUAUGUCUAUAACUGGAAUAGCAUAUCAAAUAAAACCCAGAAUUGAUACCUGAAUGCAUGUCUCUAUUAUGACCAGAAAGCAACUUCUCCUACUAAUUUAAGUUCUGUCACCAACCAUGUCCAUUCCUUCUGCCUCUUCUUGGAAAAAUGUUCACAACGGUUCUGGACUUAAUAAUAGGAUUGCCAAAAUUUAAUUGGAAGUCAAACAUGUUAUUUCACUAGGUGGUGAUUAUUGUUGCAAUCUUAAGGUUUCAGGUUCCAUUAUGGCUUUCUGCCAAUAGGAAAAGGAUGAUCAUGGUGUCUGUCAUUAUGAUCUAGAAGGUUUGAUUCCCGACAUUCUUAAAUUUUUCCAUGUAUGAAAACUGACCAGCGCUGUAUAGAGAAACAGGGUUGAUUAUAAUGGGUUUUGUCUGCUAAUCAUGGUUGUUCUUUUUCUUAGCUAUAAACAAAUCAAUUAAUCUAGAUCAUGUUUUCCACAUUGAAAGAGAUUGGGAUCAGGUUGAAACUAUUUCUGGAUUUCAACCUUUGUUGCUGCAUUAGCUGAAGACUGAAGCCGCUAAAGGUUAUGCACAAUCAUUGCUGCCAGGGACUCAAUCAUUAUGUUUAGGCUUUUUUUGUAAGUUUCUUCAAAGAGGAAUAAUUACCCAAAUCAAGUAGCUAAGAUGCUUUUGCAGUUGUGUUUAUCACAUAUCCAUUGAGGAAAAAGAUGGAUAGGUGAAUCCAAAAUGUUCCUGCAGAACCUUCGUGCAAGUCAGCGACACCAGUUAAUAUUGUUCCAUACUCGAUCACCAUGCAGGUGAAAGAUCCUCUCCCAUAUUCAAUUUAUAAUUGAGUUCUCCCCUACACUUUCUGCUCUUGUGUCACAGAGAUUAUACCAGUGUGCUUAUGACAUCCCAGAAACUUUUCAGAUGAAUUACCAAACACUCCUGAAAGGUCCUCUGAAUAACAGCGGAGCCAUUGAUGGAGCAACAGCGGCUAGGCAUAUCGGAGAAAUGCUUCUCAUUCUCAAAAAGUAGUGUUUUUUUAACACUUCUGGGGUAACCACAGCUCACUUAGGAGCCAAUGCCAUGACCAAGGUACCCACAUGCACACAACUCAUCAGUUCCCCUUCCUGUGGGGCUAUGUUGAAACUUGAGAACCAGCUCACACGUGUUGCUGUCAAUUAAAGGUAUAUGUGGCUCCCGCUUCAUAGAGCAGCAACUCAUGGUGGUGGGGUCUGAUUUGCGAUGUCCAUAUUACAGCUAAAACCCACUUGUGGCUGCAUAUCACAGAGUGGGAAAUCCCGAUGCCUUAUGUUAUCUAGAAACUGUUGAAAUACGUGGAAUUGACUGUUCAGGAGUUUGGCAUGGCAAAAACUUACUAGAUCUUCAAUUCUAUACGCAGCACAGAGAUGGGUUGAUACGGUCUACUGACUUCGUUGUAAAAUUGAAGCAUGGGCUCACUUCCCUGCCAUGUUGUUGGGAGACAAAUAACUUCGAUCUAUUGAAAGUGCUUAGCAUUGAAUUGGGUCCUGCUAUUAUCCUCAUGGUAUAUCGAUUUGGGCAAACCACAUUGGUUUAUCUAUAUUCCAGACACGUUUGCAUGUGGGAUAAAUGUUGUCCCUGAUAAACUCAAAUAGGAUAGACAUCUACCUCUUGAAUACCCGGAUACCAAGCCAGGAAAUAUGUCCUGAGACUUUUGUAAGUUGUCAGGGUUUAGCCCUUGGCAGAAUUGGUAUCAGUUCCAGGUUGGAGUGUUCAGUCACUCACUGGUGUAAUCUCAUGUCUCAUUUAGAAAUGUAUGCGAUUUUUUUGUAGUUUACUGCUACGAUCAUGACUAUUGACAAAUCUUAUUCAAUUUAUUAUUCUUGUUAUUUUUAA